UUGAAACAAAUCAAAAUCCACAAAAAGAGAUUAAAAAAACUCUAUUCUAACAAGAACUAUGGAUCGAAAUCAACGAUAUAAAUAUGAAAAGCAAUAGCAUAAAUAAACAAGAAUGAAAAACGAAGAAGAAAAUGCGAAUCGAAAUUGAUAAAAUGUGAAGAGUUGUGAUGAUCAGAGCACUCACCGAAACAGCUUAAGAGUGUGUUCAGCAACAAUAAUCCAGAAGAGAACCCAUUAUUUCAAGGGUAUAUAACCUUUUUUCUCGAAAUUAAAGGAAUGUGUGAUCUUGCGGGGAUAUUUUCGGGAUUAGUAGAAUUUACAGAAUCUGCAACGGGAAAGAAUGAAAAUCUUCCGAAGAAUAGAAAGGAAAGAAAAGGUAUGAUGCAUGGAUCUUGAUGAUGGAAUUUGGAAAAUUGGGAUAUAGCUAAAUUUGUUGUCACUUGUUUGUUCGCUAAUUUUUAGAUAUUUUGGUGUUUGGGUGUAGCAGAAACAUUUAUAAUGGUCAUAAACUUUGAAAAGGGUAAUGGGAAUAAUAAAAGAAAAACUUUAAAAAGGGUAAUGGGAAUAAUAAUAGAAAGGUUAAAUUUUUUUUUUUUAUAAUUAGUUAAAAUAUAUUUUUUGUUCAUAUCAAAUUUAGCGUUUUUUUAGCUGCAUAUAACUAAUUUAUGUUUAUUUUAAUGUAAUGUUAUCACUAUUUUAUAUUCAAGAAGCAUCUAUAUUAUCAUAUUAUGUUUAUAUUCUUUUUUGUCGGAUAGUUGGUUAGCUAAAAUUUCACGCUUAAGAUGAAUAAGUGAGGUGUUCAGAGUUCAAAUCCGGCCCAUGCAUAUAAAAUGGGACGUCCUUAUCAACUGAGUUAAAUUCACGGG